GAGCCGCCGCGGUAAUCCGUAGGUGGCAAGCGUUGUCCGGAAUUGUUGGGCGUAACGGGCUCGCAGGCGGUUUCUUAAGUCUGAUGGGAAAGCCCCCGGCUCAACCGGGGAGGGUCAUUGGAAACUGGGAAACUUGAGUGCAGAAGAGGAGAGUGGAAUUCCACGUGUAGCGGUGAAAUGCGUAGAGAUGUGGAGGAACACCAGUGGCGAAGGCGACUCUCUGGUCUGUAACUGACGCUGAGGAGCGAAAGCGUGGGGAGCGAACAGGAUUAGAUACCCCCGUAGUCCCUGUCUCUUAUAC
rnacentral:rRNA from 1 species